UACGUAGGUGGCAAGCGUUAUCCGGAUUUACUGGGUGUAAAGAGGGCGUAGGCGGCUUUUCAAGUCGAGUAUAAAAUCUCCCGGCUUAACUGGGAGGGAUUAUUCGAUACUGUUGGGCUAGAGGACAGUAGGGGGAGGUGGAAUUCCCGGUGUAGUGGUGAAAUGCGUAGAUAUCGGGAGGAACACCAGUGGCGAAGGCGGCCUCCUGGGCUGUUGCUGACGCUGAGGCCCGAAAGCGUGGGGAGCAAACAGGAUUAGAUACCCCCGUA
rnacentral:rRNA from 1 species